CUACGGGAGGCAGCAGUAAGGAAUAUUGCGCAAUGGGCGGAAGCCUGACGCAGCGACGCCGCGUGGGGGAUGACGGCCUUCGGGUUGUAAACCCCUUUCAGCUCCGACGAAGCGUAAGUGACGGUAGGGGCAGAAGAAGCGCCGGCCAACUACGUGCCAGCAGCCGCGGUAAUACGUAGGGCGCAAGCGUUGUCCGGAAUUAUUGGGCGUAAAGAGCUCGUAGGCGGCCUGUUGCGUCGGCUGUGAAAACCCGGGGCUCAACCUCGGGCCGGCAGUCGAUACGGUCGGGCUGGAGUCCGGCAGGGGAGACUGGAAUUCCUGGUGUAGCGGUGAAAUGCGCAGAUAUCAGGAGGAACACCGGUGGCGAAGGCGGGUCUCUGGGCCGGUACUGACGCUGAGGAGCGAAAGCGUGGGGAGCGAACAGGAUUAGAAACCCUUGUAGUCCC
rnacentral:rRNA from 1 species